rnacentral:rRNA from 1 species
AGUGAACGCUGGCGGUAGGCCUAACACAUGCAAGUCGAACGGCAGCACGGGAGAGCUUGCUCUCUGGGUGGCGAGUGGCGGACGGGUGAGGAAUACAUCGGAAUCUACUCUGUCGUGGGGGAUAACGUAGGGAAACUUACGCUAAUACCGCAUACGACCUACGGGUGAAAGCAGGGGACCUUCGGGCCUUGCGCGAUUGAAUGAGACGCUGUCGGAUUAGCUAGUUGGCGGGGUAAAGGCCCACCAAGGCGACGAUCCGUAGCUGGUCUGAGAGGAUGAUCAGCCACACUGGAACUGAGACACGGUCCAGACUCCUACGGGAGGCAGCAGUGGGGAAUAUUGGACAAUGGGCGCAAGCCUGAUCCAGCCAUACCGCGUGGGUGAAGAAGGCCUUCGGGUUGUAAAGCCCUUUUGUUGGGAAAGAAAUCCAGCUGGCUAAUACCCGGUUGGGAUGACGGUACCCAAAGAAUAAGCACCGGCUAACUUCGUGCCAGCAGCCGCAGUAA